rnacentral:lncRNA from 1 species
AGUGUUGUUUUGGCUCAAGUCAGCUGGACGGUUUCUGUUAUUUGUUUUGGCUUCCUGGUCCAUGUGAGGGGUUGGUGGGGGUGGGGGUGGGGCAUGAGAAUCGCCUUGUUUUUGCUUUGCCGUAACUGAGGAAAGGAUUAAGGAGCCAUCUGUGGCACGUUGUUGUCGCCAUAAAAAAAAAAAAUCUACUCUUUUCCAAUAGCGUUAAGUUUGCUUCUGUUCACGUCUGUCAUAGGGCAGGUGUGUCAUGCCCAAAGCGAUUGGACCUGUGGGAGUUCUGUUGUGGGUGGUUCCCGGAACUGUGGGCGGGCGAUUUCACCCAGGGCUCCCUCUGCUUUGUGUCUUGUAGAAUGUCGUUCUCUCAGGAGGCUCCACCAUGUUCAGGGAUUUCGGACGCCGACUACAGAGGGAUUUGAAGAGAGUGGUGGAUGCUAGGCUGAGGCUCAGCGAGGAGCUCAGCGGCGGGAGGAUCAAGAGAUCAGGCCUGGGGUGUAAUGACCAGUGUCCCAAGGAGAUGGGACUGAUUUACGGUGAGGAUCUCUCCUAUCCUUCGGAAAUGUUCUCAUUAAAUGAAAAUAACUGAUGUUAGCAGGGAGUUAAGGCGUUUCUCCAAGAUAGUCAUU